GUGUGUGUGUGUGUGUGUGUGUUCAAUCUGUCAGAAGUAUUUUUCCAUUGUAGUUGAAUAGGAGAGAAAAUUUGGCCAUUGCUGACGACCAAUGGCAGCGGUUAUGGACUCAUGAUGGACUGGUGAUGGCUAAUGUGACUGUGAUGAAGGACAGGUUGAGGUACUAGCCAACCAAUAUUCUCAAACAAUUGGUAGGAUUGGUGUUAAAUUUGAUAAUUGAUUUAGAGCUUGUUAAAGUGAGAAAAGAAAGGAAAUCAGAGAUUGCUGGGGCUGUUUGUGGCAACGGUAGUAGUGGGAAAGAAGGAAAAAAAGAAAGAGGAAGAGAAACGAGAGUAGGAUCAAACCUUUCAAAUUAAAUACUCAAAAUUCCAUACUCAAAAGAUAAAUUACUUAGGUAUUUAUAGAAAUUUAGUAAUUGAUUCUAAUACUAGAUUAGGAAUCCCAAACUAAGAUGACUCUAAACCGAUAUUGUAAAUACUAAAAAGGAUUGGAAUAAGGCUUAGUGAUUAAAAAAGAAAAAAAUCCAAACCUGUGCGCCUUUUUUCAAUUUUAGUCGUUCCUUUUAAUUUCUUCCAGUUUUGCCUAGUCUUACAAUUUUGAUAACGAUUUUGGUUAAUUUAGCGGGGAGAAAUGAAAUGUAUGUUUAAUGCCUAUAUAGAUAUUUCAAUUGGCAAAAAAGAAAAGGUGUUCUUUUACUGUUUUUGCAAUGUUGUGUUACAUAUCAGACCUGCACAAU
rnacentral:misc_RNA from 1 species